AAAGGUGAGGCAGUCAAAUCCUUCCUUCGCCUUCUCCUCCCAUACUCCUAUCUGUCUGAAAUCCAAUCCUCAGUCUUUACAGUCAGAAUCCAUCUUACGGAUGCUUGUUCUCUUCCCAUCUCCUUUCUCUACAAAUCAGGGAUCUGUGUCAUACUCCCACAAACCUUUUCUCUAGUGUUCACUCAUCACCUGUGUCGUCCUUCUUCUUCUGAUCUCUUCCCCCUUUUUCUCUUCAUGUACCGGUUCACCUCUCAGAUCUUCCUCUCUCUAUAUCCUCCGAUGGAAGUUGCCGGAAGAAGUGCCCAAGGGAAUGAGUGAAGCUGCCAGCAUGAUCUAGCUCAAGGAUAAAAGCUAGAUUUUGAUCAUAAACCCUCUUGUAGCUUUGAAGGAACUUGGCCAUAAACAUGAAUCCUGGAGAUGCCAAAGAAUGAAAACAUGAUUAAAGGACAUUAAUCCUGGCUAGGUCAUGCUCUGGCAGCUUCAUUUCUUCCCUUGCUGGGCGCAAUAGAUGCACCACCACCACCAUGACAGGGAAGACGAGAAAGGAGAAUAGCAGUGUAAGUAUGCCUUUUCUUAUGCUGAUUGACAUGGCCAUUCUUCUUGUCCAUUGCAUCCAUGAAUUCUCUUAUCAGUUGGUACAGUACUACCCCAUGGCCAGCAGGAUCCACUUUACUUGCCUUUGAUUCUAGUUUUAUCUUUGUCUGCUGAAGGGUGCUAUUGGGGAACAAAGUACCCCGGUAUGUGAGUGUGGGCUCAAAUGUUUGUGCUGUUUACAUCAAAUCCAUGACAGUAGGACAGUAAUCCAGCUAUAUCUCCAUGGAUUCUUUAUUCCUAUCUUUCCUUGUACACUUGUGUGUGCAAGUUAAACAAGUUACAUGAUCUGAUAUCAGUGAAGCUUCACCUCCUCCAUGUUGAAUUUACAGUAGCUUACAGAAGAUGGAGGUGAAUCAUGUAUCACGUGCACUUCAAAUCAACAUCCUCCAGGUCCAGUAUGUCUGCUUCCAUUGUGCAUUGAGGUGACACAUCUCAAGUGCUUGCAAUUGGUCUGCUAUGAUCGGGUCAUCAUCAGCAUGAUAAAAAGGUUGCAGUCUCAGCUACUUCAGGACUUUGGCCUAAUCUGGCUCAAGCACUUGCCUUUGCUGUGGAUUGAUUGAUGUUAAAGAGCAUCCAUGUAAAACAAUAUGUACAUUCUAUUCAUGUUGUUUUGCAAGAGCGGGAACAUAGAGGAUCAGUCUUUAGAUUUGCAUGACUUGAAUCCAGCCUUGAAGUCCACAAGAGGCAUUCAGAAUCUUGAUGAAAUAAACUCACAUCUAUAAGCAUUUAUCACCUA